GAUGAACGCUGGCGGCGUGCCUAAUACAUGCAAGUCGAGCGAACAGACGAGGAGCUUGCUCCUCUGACGUUAGCGGCGGACGGGUGAGUAACACGUGGAUAACCUACCUAUAAGACUGGGAUAACUUCGGGAAACCGGAGCUAAUACCGGAUAAUAUAUUGAACCGCAUGGUUCAAUAGUGAAAGACGGUUUUGCUGUCACUUAUAGAUGGAUCCGCGCCGCAUUAGCUAGUUGGUAAGGUAACGGCUUACCAAGGCAACGAUGCGUAGCCGACCUGAGAGGGUGAGCGGCCACACUUGAACUGAGACACGGUCCAGACUCCUACGGUAGGCAGCAGUAGGGAAUCUUCCGCAAGGGGCGAAAGCCUGACGGAGCAACGCCGCGUGAGUGAUGAAGGUCUUCGGAUCGUAAAACUCUGUUAUUAGGGAAGAACAAAUGUGUAAGUAACUAUGCACGUCUUGACGGUACCUAAUCAGAAAGCCACGGCUAACUACGUG
rnacentral:rRNA from 1 species